rnacentral:tRNA from 1 species
GAGGUUAUAGCUCAGUGGUAAAGUGCAUGCCUAGCAUGCAUGAGGUCCUGGCUUCAAUCCCCAGUACCUCCA